rnacentral:tRNA from 1 species
GGUGAAAUGGCCGAGUGGCUAAAGGCGUUCCCCUGCUAAGGGAAUAUACGAAUAAUAUCGUAUCGAGAGUUCGAAUCUCUCUUUCACCGUCA